rnacentral:rRNA from 1 species
UACGUAGGGUCCGAGCGUUGUCCGGAAUUACUGGGCGUAAAGAGCUCGUAGGUGGUUUGUCGCGUUGUUCGUGAAAACUCACAGCUCAACUGUGGGCGUGCGGGCGAUACGGGCAGACUGGAGUACUGCAGGGGAGACUGGAAUUCCUGGUGUAGCGGUGGAAUGCGCAGAUAUCAGGAGGAACACCGGUGGCGAAGGCGGGUCACUGGGCCGCAACUGACGCUGGAGGAGCGAAAGCAUGGGGAGCGAACAGG